UACGUAGGGUGCGAGCGUUAAUCGGAAUUACUGGGCGUAAAGGGCGCGUAGGCGGCUUGAUAAGGUUGCGGUGAAAGCCCGGGGCUCAACCCCGGGUCGGCCGUGGCAACUGUCGAGCUGGAGCACUGUAGAGGCAGGUGGAAUUCCGGGUGUAGCGGUGGAAUGCGUAGAGAUCCGGAAGAACACCGGUGGCGAAGGCGGCUCUCUGGGCCUUACCUGACGCUGAGGAGCGAAAGCGUGGGUAGCGAACAGG
rnacentral:rRNA from 1 species